AGUGAACGCUGGCGGUAGGCCUAACACAUGCAAGUCGAACGAGUGGCGGACGGGUGAGGAAUAGAUCGGAAACUACUCUGUCGUGGGGGAUAACGUAGGGAAACUUACGCUAAUACCGCAUACGAUUGAAUGAGCCGAGGUGGGAUUAGCUAGUUGGCGGGGUAAAGGCCCACAAAGGCGACGAUCCGUAGCUGGGCUGAGAGGAUGAUCGGCCACACUGGAACUGAGACACGGUCCAGACUCCUACGGGAGGCAGCAGUGGGGAAUAUUGGACAAUGGGCGCAAGCCUGAUGCAGCCAUGCCGCGUGUGUGAAGAAGGCCUUCGGGUUGUAAAGCCCUUUUGUUGGGAAAGCGGUACCCAAAGAAUAAGCACCGGCUAACUACGUGCCAGCAGCCGCGGUAAUUC
rnacentral:rRNA from 1 species